CCUGGGGCAAGCCGGGUGCCAGUAGGCCACGUUGGGCGGCAGGGCGUGCACGGGAGUGCAAUUUCUCAGGGAAAGGGGUGUGCUCUUUGGGAUAUCUUUGAGUGAAGUGAGAUUCUCCAUAACAUCUAAGCUGUGGAUCUCACUGCUGCAGGAGCCUGCAGAUAAACAGAAAUUCUUGGCUCGGCAAGUCAAACUUGUAUUCGCUAGAUACUCUGUCCAUGGCCAGGGAUUCGAAGUGUUUCAGCACCAUCGCUGGUCCACCCUCCAAAGUUACACAGCAUCAGACUGACCAAGAAAUGGGGACUAAACUGCACUUAAUACAUCUGCUAUCCAGUCAUACACAGGAUUAAUCAAAAUGCCCCUGGCUUCUGGCAGAUACAACUUCUAAAGAGAGGAAUGCUUCAGGAUAUGCCUGUUGUCAUUAGGGAACAAACCCAUCCCAGCAACAGCACCAGCCAAUGGAAAGGAAACUUUGCUGUGAAAAUCGGAAGGAGCACAUGGAACAGCAGGGUGCAGGGCAGGAACUGGAAAGGCAAUUUUGCCUCUUCUGUGGUACUGUGGUUGUUGGCAACUGGAGAUGCACCCAAUCGCUGAGCAGUAAGGUGGACUUUGCUUCUUCAGCAAGUGUUUCUGACAUGUCUGAGUCACGCUGCCAGUGGAUCAUGUUCUCAAAUACUAUAUAGUCUAGAUCUACACAAUGCAGAUGUGUUGUGGUUCCUCUGGUUUAGGAGGCAGGUUACCUACUGGAUUUACUGUCUGCUUGAGGUGCCUGAUUCACUCCACAAAUCAUGGGGAGAUUCCCAUGAAAGGCAAGAUAGAGAAGAUGGAAGAUGUGGUACAUGUGGUAGCUGAUUGAAACCGUUAAGACGAUGGACUAUACAAAACAUCAUUCAUCCCUAUCUGUGGUUUCUUGAAACCUUUUGACAGACCUCUAUUUCUUUCUAUGCAAACUUGGUUUCAGUGGAGGUGAGUGCCUGUUCCUUUUCUUAUUAAAAAUGAAGUUGGGAGAAAGCAGCAGAUGUCUUGACUUUGCCCAAAGACCAGUGGGAAGACAUGCACAAUCUCUUCAGGUGUCUUAAAAUUGAGGCCAAGCCUGUUCCACUUCUGUGGGGUUUUUUUGUUGUGAUUUGCUAACUGUUCUGGUUCAUCCUCCUCCUUCCUCACAUGAACUUUAACUCUUCUACUUUAUACUUGAAAGUCUGGAUAGCUAGGUCUCGUCCAUUUUCAGCAGCAUCUACCAGCUCUCAUUCUGUUUGUCUUUGCGAUUUUAUAAUCUGGUUUCUUCACCUCAUACUGGAUUUUAGAUCCUUAAAGUGGUGGCUAAUCAGUGGGUUAAUUAAUUCUGCAUGGUAAGAUGGCAAGAAUAUUUUUUUCCACUAAAUUUUUAUGCAAGAAAGAAAAUACACAGGUCUAAAGAAAGGCUAAGAUAAAGAAUAUUUCUGUCCUAACACUUUAGUCACGUUCUACCCAUGACUGUGGUGACCUGAAUCAGUGAUACAGAUUUCCCUCUCUCUGAUGCCCUCUGGCAUCUGGGUUUCUAUCUUAGAAGUGUAAAUAGGUUUAGAAAUGGCACUUAUGGACAAUACAGUAUGGUUUUCCUUUCAAUUCAGGUGAGUAGCAUGAGAAGAGAACUGGGGCUAGUAGUUUCCUUCUUAUAGUCACAGUCUUGAUGGAAAAAUUGUAAAAACAAACACCUGUAAUUCCUGAACUAUCAGCUAAAGAAUCAAAAAUCAAUAGAUUUGGCAUUGGCAACUCAGCAAAUGUAUGAACUAAUCCUUAAUACUUGUGAGAAGGAAUCUCAUGAGCUAUGACAAACAGGAAUAACAUCAUAUCCGCACUGGUAAUUGGCUGACAGAUUCAUUGUCCUCAUUGCAAAUGUUUAUAGAUGUUAAAUCCAAGAGUUGUUAACUGUCAGAGUUAACAACAGGAGGAGCGACUAUGUCAAAUAACCAUCAAACUGACCAGUGUAAUCCAUUUUCCUUCUUGCAGAAAGAUUGCAAGCUAUAAUGUAAUGUACCUCCUGUUUAGUAGGCACUUCAUGGACUAUUGAUUUUAGUUCUAAAAAGAGUUUGCAUGCUGUUUCCAUUUGUCACCUUUGGAUAUCACCAGUACCAAAAAGGUAAAUUGCUCCAACCAUUUAGAUCCAUUAUACUAUUGAAAGAGCAAAGAUGGUUUCUAUAAAAUAAAUUCUUUAGCCUUGCUAGUGCUUUUUCUUCCCACAGUGAAGGACCUUCCUUUUAUCAUGGAAGACAUUGUUAAAGCAUCAUCAGUUCUCAUUUUCAAAGACUAGCUGUCUACAUGGCAUGGAACGAAGGAAUAUGUUAAAACUAUGAGCAACUGCAAAUAAAACUACCACACAGUCUCUAAUUGAGUGAAAGGCCAGUACCUGCUAUGGCAAAUAUGGACACAUCUGUGGCAUAAAAGAUCUGAUUUUUAUUUGAUUCUUCCAGGUCAAAAUACCAUUUCAUAUGAGAUUUCAUUUUUCAUUCUGUCUGGAUACAAUGCGAGAGGGCCAGAGAAAGAACAGCAGCCUACAAUCAAUUCUUUCUUCUUAGAGCAUUUCAAAGGCAGAAUUCGAUGAGCUGUACCUAGUGGGAGUAUUGUAACAAACUGUGUGCACAACCACUGCACUUGAGCAUUGGGUAAAUGGUUUCCUGAUUUAUGGUUUCACUUUUCUUCUUAGUCAUACAUUAUCAGUCUGAAAGAAGGUACGACAAAAGAUGUUUGAUUGCUCUCCAAUUAAUUAAUGUGCAUCCUUCAGUAAACGUUUAGUUAAUCUGCCUGCUUGGAAGGCAGAAGGAGGGAGAUGAUAGAAUAUUUCUGUUAAUGCUUGCUGGUCUGUGCCUGCUAUCCUGCAAAGAAUAAGAUCUUGUGGUAAAACAUUUUUGAGCUACUGAAUUCAUAUCUAACGGAUAGAUUACGACAGCACUUCUCUGUUUGAAUAAACAGCUAGAACACUUCAAUUUUUUUUUUUUUUUUUCCCCAUGGGCAGACCAAUUUUCAGCAUAUCCCAUUUCUUUAAUCAGUUCACUAGACUAUAUCAAAGGACAUAACCAGGCAGGUCAGGAGAUAGCUUGAAACUUAACUAUGCUCUUCUUUAUUUAAUUCACUUCUACCACCUCCCCCAAGUUUCAGACUCUUCUUUCCUGCAGCUUACAUGAAUGCAAAAAAGCAGGAGAAAACACAGGACAAGACUGUUCUUCAGCCUAUGUGAGGUAUUGCUCCACUUCUCUUUUCUUCUAGUGCUUUGUUCUGUUAUUUCUGAUGUAACAGGUUUUGAAGCCUUGGAUAUUCAUAUCCUUAUCACAGCAAAAGACAAGAUCACAGCAAAAGAUAAGUAUGCUUGGGUCAAAGCACAAAGGUGCAAGGCAAAGCUGUAAGCAAACUAAAGGAGCAACUUAAGUGCUUGUAAAUUACCUGCAGUGUGCUGUGCUUCAUUAAUUUUUGCUCUUUACAUGCCUCUUCUCAUGUCUGGCUUUGAAGCACUGGUGGAAAGUCACAGUGCUGUAAUGAAUAGGACACAGUGCUCUACUUCAUGCACUGCGUGUGUGUCUUUCACAGGAGGGAGAAUUUUGCAAUCCCAUCACUGCGAUCACUGCAAUGAAGAAGCGUUACUGUUUGGAAUCUUGUGAAACGAGUAACAACACUGACAAGAAAGAAAAAAAAGAAACUGAUUUUUUUUUUUUCUAGUACUUAAAACUUUUGGCAGAGGAAAAUCUCAUUUUCUUUUGGUUUCUAAAACAACGCUGAUGUUCUUCUGUCUUUUCCCUCUAUUCAGGUAAGAUUGCUGGUGAUGUAUUGGUGAGGACCACUGACUUCUGGGAUUUUGCCUGGAAGUCUGAAGUUCAUAUAGCUCCCUAUUUUAUGUGCAUUUGUAUUAGCCACUGCUGAAGUACUUAUAAUAGUAAAUCCUAUGUUAUUGGCAAUUAAUUCAGUCUUCAACGAUUAAUUUAGAGUCUUCAGUACAUUGACAUUCUGCCUAGGGAAGGUUGUUUUUCCUAAGUAAACCAAAAAGUGAAGUCUCAGCAUUCCACAAGCUGUGCACCCUGCUGGAGCUGUUAAAAUAGGCACCACAACAAAGUUGUUGUGAAAACUAGAAGCUUAGUGAGCACCUGACUUUUUUGUAAACAGUUUCUUCAUCAAACAGGGGAGCUGACCUACUUUGCAUGUGACCUUUUGGCAGGAUAGCACCUUCCAGUGGAACCACACCAGCCACCGAAGAACCUUAGCAAGAACCUCAUAUUAACACAGUGCAUAUAUAGCAUGAAAUUCUAGUAUGAAUAGCAAUUCUGAGAAUAGGCAGGCACUAAAACAUCAUUGUUUCAUCAGUUCUUUUUUAGGCCUGAAUGUGGCAUAAAUAUGUCUGCUUCUGGAUAGAGAUAUAGUAAAGAAGUUAUGAACAAAUUACACCUGUAGACAGAAAAAUUCAAGUACAUAUCCCUAAAGACAAAGCCAUAGAGGCCCAGGUCUCUGUGUUACAGGAAUCACCUUCUGAAUCUGAAAUAGCUGAGGAAGUAGAAGACAUGGUAAUGCUAUUGUUAUGAGCUAGAGGAACCUCAGGAUGAUCAAGGUGGACCAAAUGAGUGAUUGUACAACUGUAGCUGAACUCCAAACUGGUCAAGAAAAAACAUUCAAACUGUUUGUGCAUGAAAGGCUGCAUAGUGCCCUGGGAGUUCUGGCACAGAGACAGAUUAUUGAGAGCACUGGAACUACUAAAAAGAAAAAAAGGCAACAUAUGGAAUGAUUCAAAAUUUACAUUUGAAGUAGUGCAUGCCCAUAGAGUACUACAGAAGGAAAGAGGAGUGCUAUCCUACCAGGGAUCACAAAUGAAGUAUGGACCCGUUAUUAUAGAAUUACUGGAAAGUGUACUGCCUCCUCAGAAAGUUGCCAUAAUGCAUUGUAAAGCACAUCAGUUCAAUAACACUCCAGUGAAUUACAGCAAUUGACUUGCCAAUAGAGCUGCAGAAGUAGCCAUGGAAGGAACUCUUAUUAUUAAUCGCGGACAAAUAUAAAUAAUUAGGAAAAGAAACCCCAGAUUACCAAGCUAAAGAUGAGAGACUGGCAACACUAUGAAAAGUGGUUAAAGAUGGCAAAGUGUGGUAGAUAACUCCAGAUAAAUAGACAAUUAUCCCUCAAUCUCUUAUGAAUAAACUGGCAGAAGAUUAUCAUUGACGUACUGGGGAAUAGAGGCAACCACCAGAAGUAUGAGACACCAAGUUUAAGUGUGUGAAUGGCAGGAAUCAUAGUGUUGUGAAAAAAUGCGAUCUGCAUUUGAAAAACAAUCCCCAUCCACCUAAACAGCCUCCACUCAGAACAGCUAAGAAAGGAAAGCAUCCAGGAGAUUAUCAGCAGAUGGAUUUUUGUGGAUUGCUGCGGUGAUGUGAGUAUGGGUAACAUACUGGUACUAGUAGAUACUUUUUCUUGGGAUGGCCAGACGCUUUUCCCUGUUACACCUACAGAGCUCCUGAAGUAGUAAAGGUUUUAUUAAAAGAAAUUACACCCAGAUUUGGGGUACCUGCAAGGAUAUCUUUAGAUACAGAUCCACAUUUCAUCACAGAAAUAGUGCAAAACCUAGCUAGAAUUAUGCUAAAAUGUAAUCACCAUGCUCUGAGGAGAUCUCAGUCUAGCGAUAACACAGAAAGAAUGAAUCAGAGUUUAAAAAGCCAAAUAGGCAAAAUAUGCCAAGAAUCAAAAUUAAAAUGGCCAAGUGCCUUACUUGCCUUACUAAGAAUCAGGAUGAGGUCCACUUCUAAAGAAAAGAUCAGUCUGGUCUAGUACCAUAUCUGGUGGUUGGUGGUCCUGCCUGUGUCAGGGGGUUGAAACUUGAUGGCCCUUGGGGUCCCUUCCAACUCCAGCCAUUCUAUGGUUGGUCUUCGUAAGAUUUCAUAUGGGAAUCUAUAGGAGAGGGAGGUGAUAUUCGCCACCUUGAGGAACAAAAGGCUAAAGAAUAUGUGAUAUCUUUGAGAAGUGUUUUGUCUUUUCUCUGCAGGUAUGUUGUACGUGCACGCUUACCGCUGGAUGGACCUGUACACUGGUACCAACCUGGAGAUUGGGUGUACCCGACAACAUAGCUAGAUGAAGAGAAGUGGAGAGGACCCUUCCAGAUCUAAUUCACCACCCACGCAGCAGUCAGACUCAAUGGAGUCAGCCUAUGUAUUCAUUACAGUAGAGUCAAGGCACCUGCAACAUCAGGAUAGACUGUCAAGAAAGAAGGACCAUUGCAUUUGCAAUUAACUCAGGCUGUGUAAGACUAGGUUCUAUGUUUCUUAUAAUGAUAAGUAAUGCAUUUAUUUAAAGUGAGGGAAUUAAUAUGAAAGUGAAAAUCUGGUUUUAACAUUAAUACAAGGGUUUGGUGGGAUGUGCAAUGUCACUAGCAUCUGCAUAGUGGUAAUUAUAAGAGGUAGAGGACUCUGUAGAAGAUGUAUUAAAAGGUAUUUUGAAAGAAAUAUGUGAAAGUAAUUAGAAGAACUAACUACUUCCCAAGGGGUCAAUUGCUACCUGGCAAUUAAUUAACCACAGGCCCCUUACAAGGACCCCAUACUAACACAGAGCAUGCAUAAUAUUAGAUUUUAAUAUAGCAAUUCUUGAAAUAGGCAGGCACUCCAUGGAAAAUGUAUGAAUAUUCGCACAUGUUCAAUAUAUAUAAUCUGCAUGCUUUUAGUUCCUGGCUAUGCACGUUAGGUGGAUCCCGUGCAUCUGGUCACAAUAACAAAUGCCUGCUUUUUAAUGCUA